CCAGAUCGUUUACCGUGAAAAAAUUAGAGUGUUCAAAGCAGGCAGAUCCAAUUUUCUGCCACCGAAUACAUUAGCAUGGGAUAAUGGAAUAGGACCCUGUCCUCCUAUUUUCAGUUGGUUUUGGCAGCGCGAGGACUAGGGUAAUGAUUAAUAGGGAUAGUUGGGGGCAUUAAUAUUUAAUUGUCAGAGGUGAAAUUCUUGGAUUUAUGAAAGAUUAACUUCUGCGAAAGCAUCUGCCAAGGAUGUUUUCAUUAAUCAAGAACGAAAGUUAGGGGAUCGAAGACGAUCAGAUACCGUCGUAGUCUUAACCAUAAACGAUGCCGACCAGCGAUUAGGAGACGUUGAAUACAAAACACCACCAUCGGUGCGGUCGUCCUUGGC
rnacentral:rRNA from 1 species